GAUGAACGCUGGCGGCGUGCCUAACACAUGCAAGUCGAGCGAUCUUCUUCGGAAGAGAGCGGCGGACGGGUGAGUAACGCGUGGGUAACCUGCCCUGUACACACGGAUAACAUACCGAAAGGUAUGCUAAUACGAGAUAAUAUGCUUUUAUCGCAUGGUAGCAGUAUCAAAGCUUUUGCGGUACAGGAUGGACCCGCGUCUGAUUAGCUAGUUGGUAAGGUAACGGCUUACCAAGGCGACGAUCAGUAGCCGACCUGAGAGGGUGAUCGGCCACAUUGGAACUGAGACACGGUCCAAACUCCUACGGGAGGCAGCAGUGGGGAAUAUUGCACAAUGGGCGAAAGCCUGAUGCAGCAACGCCGCGUGAGCGAUGAAGGCCUUCGGGUCGUAAAGCUCUGUCCUCAAGGAAGAUAAUGACGGUACUUGAGGAGGAAGCCCCGGCUAACUACGUGCCAGCCGCCGCGGUAA
rnacentral:rRNA from 1 species